GACGUAGGGUGCAAGCGUUGUCCGGAUUUAUUGGGCGUAAAGAGCUCGUAGGCGGCUUGUUGCGUCGACUGUGAAAAACCCGCGGCUUAACCGCGGGCUUGCAGUUGAUACGGGCAGGCUAGAGUUCGGUAGGGGAGACUGGAAUUCCUGGUGUAGCGGUGAAAUGCGCAGAUAUCAGGAGGAACACCGGUGGCGAAGGCGGGUCUCUGGGCCGAUACUGACGCUGAGGAGCGAAAGCGUGGGGAGCAAACAGG
rnacentral:rRNA from 1 species